GAUGAACGCUAGCGGCAGGCUUAAUACAUGCAAGUCGAGCGGUAAGGCCCUUUCGGGGGUACACGAGCGGCGAACGGGUGAGUAACACGUGGGUGACCUGCCCUCAGCUCUGGGAUAAGCCUGGGAAACCGGGUCUAAUACCGGAUAUGACUCCAUGACGCAUGUUGUGGGGUGGAAAGCCUUGUGCGGCUGAGGAUGGGCCCGCGGCCUAUCAGCUUGUUGGUGGGGNGAUGGCCUACCAAGGCGACGACGGGUAGCCGGCCUGAGAGGGCGACCGGCCACACUGGGACUGAGACACGGCCCAGACUCCUACGGGAGGCAGCAGUGGGGAAUCUUGCGCAAUGGGCGAAAGCCUGACGCAGCGACGCCGCGUGAGGGAUGACGGCCU
rnacentral:rRNA from 1 species